rnacentral:tRNA from 1 species
UCCCUGAUAGCUCAGUUAGUAAAGAAUCUGCCUGCAAUGCAGGAGACCCUGGUUUGAUUCCUGGGCUGGGAA